CCCCCUCUGGUGGAGAAGGUUCGGGGAUCAGGGUGGACACCUCUGCCUGCUUCCUUGCGCUCCCUGGAGUUCUGGUGGAAUUCUGGUGGAAUUCUCUGGUGGAAUCCACAUUGUCCUCCAUUUGCCCCACGCUUCCUGAGCAGCCCCUCCGUGAGCCAGAAGCUUCCAGGCAUGGAGCCCAAGAGUGGGAGACACUGACAUAGGCCUUGUCUGCAGGGCAGGCGGUGACACCUGCAAGGCUCCAGUGAGACGACGAGGUGUGCUGAUGCCAGGAGAAGAAAUGUUUCCAGGUGCUGGUUGGUGUCUUUUGCUUGGUCCAGCCCCUCUCGAGGUCCAAUUAUAUAUGGAGCUGGGGCAGUUGUCAACAGUUUGGUGUGUGUUAUUUCAUCCUGUUGGUGACGCAUCCCUUGAAAAUAAACAGCACCCUCAGAGUUAAGACAGUAUAUCUCCAAUGUAGAAACUGUCUCUUCAAAGUAUUGCUGGGGGCAGUAGCAAAUAAAAAAUGGCCAUCCUG